ACCCUCUCAAGGCCACACCUGGAGAGUUCCCAGUACUCUAGCAGUGUUGACUACGGGAGGAAGAAUCAGGCAGAGGUAUAUUCAUUCCAUUCCUAGCUUGGACAGUGGCUAGUGAGUGGAAGGCAAUCUGCUACAAGU